rnacentral:rRNA from 1 species
UGGGGAAUUUUGGACAAUGGGCGAAAGCCUGAUCCAGCAAUGCCGCGUGUGUGAAGAAGGCCUUCGGGUUGUAAAGCACUUUUGUCCGGAAAGAAAUCCUUGGCUCUAAUACAGUCGGGGGAUGACGGUACCGGAAGAAUAAGCACCGGCUAACUACGUGCCAGCAGCCGCGGUAAUACGUAGGGUGCAAGCGUUAAUCGGAAUUACUGGGCGUAAAGCGUGCGCAGGCGGUUUGCUAAGACCGAUGUGAAAUCCCCGGGCUCAACCUGGGAACUGCAUUGGUGACUGGCAGGCUAGAGUAUGGCAGAGGGGGGUAGAAUUCCACGUGUAGCAGUGAAAUGCGUAGAGAUGUGGAGGAAUACCGAUGGCGAAGGCAGCCCCCUGGGGCCAAAUACUGACGCUCAUGCACGAAAAGCGUGGGGGAGCAAACAGGAUUAGAUACCCUGGUAGUCCACGCCCUAAACGAUGUCAACUAGUUGUUGGGGAUUCAUUUCCUUAGUAACGUAGCUAACGCGUGAAGUUGACCGCCUGGGGAGUACGGUCGCAAGAUUAAAACUCAAAUGAAUUGACGGGGUCAUAGCUGUUUCCU